AUUUAGUUUCGCAACUUCCGGUGCUGCUGCAAUCAUCUCGUUCAAGAGAGAUUCGUCAUUUUCUAAUUUGGUUACCACAAGGAUCAUAUACCUAAACGAACUUUCACCUAACAUCUUGUCAAGGGUUUUCAGCAUUUGUAGAUCUUCGUUUGUGAUUCUUUCAGCAGCCGACAAAACAAGAACAAUGGCGUGGAAACCCGGAGACGUACAGAAUAAACAUCGACGAAUUUCAGUUUCUACAUCAAUUUCAUUACUGAUAUUCUUAGAUUCAGCAGACGCAGACGGCUUCUCUUUUUGCAUGGCAGCUUCUUGUGACUGACGGCCGUCUGUUUUAAGAUUAAUAAAUGUACAUUUAAAAAU
rnacentral:sRNA from 1 species